UGGAGGUGAUGAGCUACUAUCAGCCUGACCUUGUGAAGUGGGGGCCAGAAACUGAUUUAAUGAGCCUGAUCC